UUUUAAUUUAAAAUAUUAGAUUGUAAAUCUAAAGACUUUUAUUCUUGGUUUUUUUA
rnacentral:tRNA from 1 species